AUGCACGCUGGCGGCGUGCCUAAUCCCUGCAAGUCGAGCGAACGGACGAGAAGCUUGCUUCUCUGAUGUUAGCGGCGGACGGGUGAGUAACACGUGGAUACCUUACCAUUAGACCGGGAUAACUUCCGGAAACCGGAGCUAAUACCCGAUAAAAUUUUGAACCCGAUGGUUUCAAAAUGAAAGAUGGGGUUGUUGUCACCUAUAGAAUGGUCCCCGCUGCAUUAGCUAAUUGGGUAGGUAACGGCUUACCAAGGCAACGAUGCAUAACCGACCUGAGAGGGUGAUCGGCCCCACAGGAACUGAGAAACGGUCCAGACUCCUACGGGAGGCAGCAGUAGGGAAUCUUCCGCAAUGGGCGAAAGCCUGACGGAGCAACGCCGCGUGAGUGAUGAAGGUCUUCGGAUCGUAAAACUCUGUUAUUAGGGAAGAACAUAUGUGUAAGUAACUGUGCACAUCUUGACGGUACCUAAUCAGAACGCCACGGCUAACUACGUG
rnacentral:rRNA from 1 species